GACGAACGCUGGCGGCGUGCUUAACACAUGCAAGUCGAACGGAAAGGCCCUGCUUUUGUGGGGUGCUCGAGUGGCGAACGGGUGAGUAACACGUGAGUAACCUGCCCUUGACUUUGGGAUAACUUCAGGAAACUGGGGCUAAUACCGGAUAGGAGCUCCUGCUGCAUGGUGGGGGUUGGAAAGUUUCGGCGGUUGGGGAUGGACUCGCGGCUUAUCAGCUUGUUGGUGGGGUAGUGGCUUACCAAGGCUUUGACGGGUAGCCGGCCUGAGAGGGUGACCGGCCACAUUGGGACUGAGAUACGGCGCAGACUCCUACGGGAGGCAGCAGUGGGGAAUAUUGCACAAUGGGCGGAAGCCUGAGGCAGCAACGCCGCGUGCGGGAUGACGGCCUUCGGGUGGUAAACCGCUUUCGCCUGUGACGAAGCGUGAGUGACGGUAAUGGGUAAAGAAGCACCGGCUAACUACGUG
rnacentral:rRNA from 1 species